CACAGGUGUUCGGGGUUGACUGGUGGGCGGAGCCCACACCUGCGGGUAGUUGAGCAGCAUCGGGUGGCACUACUUAAACACCGCGCAGACAGCGAGAGGACGCCGGAUUGUUAUCGUUGUGGUAUACAGUCAAGCCUCGGCCUCUCGUUCUCUGCGAUUACCAGAAGAUCUAACCACUCACCUCUGUGUCUCCCAGGUACCUCCUCGUGUCAGCCCUCUUCCUCUCGUGACCCCGUGAAGUCUCUUGUGGCAGUAGUUCCACGCAUCGUCAUUCUCCAUCUGGUGUUGGUCUCUCCUGCUAACCUCCUGGUUCCCCCUGAGUCGGUUCCCUUCCUCUGGACCCCUGCCAUCUCCGGAGAGUCAUCUGGUUCCUCUUGCUGUCCUGAACAUCUGGAUUCCCCGGUGCUGCUCGGACCCGACCCCACCUUCGACCCGCUGGUCUCCCGGACACCUGUGGCCACCAUCACACGGUGCUGAGUCCCCACUGCUUCCUCCCCGGUCGGCUCUCCAUCCGCCGAGUGGUAAGCUUGCGUCCAGCAGCACACCCAGCUCAGUCAGAUCAGUUCCUCCUCACGUAAUCAAAAGUAUUCCAGAGAAGCAGGAUGAAAAGGGGAUAGUGGCCUUAGAAGAGCAGACAGUCCAGGUAAUUAUUACAAAAUAAUUUGUAAAUGCCUUGUGUUUUUGCUCAUUGUUUGGGUAUGCUCUUCUUUAUUGUUAGGUCACUCAGCCAAUUAUGGUACAUACGCUGUGAUGGAAAAGUCGACAAAGAAAAUUAGUGCAGCCCAACUUGUACAGAGCAAUGGUUCCAGUACAGCCAUGGAAGAGGAGGGAUUAAAAAGGUCAUUGGAGCAGUUGUCGGCAGAAGGUGUCAAUAUUGGAGAGCUUGUGACAGAUAGACAUGUUUCUAUCAGAAAGAUGAUGAGUGAAAACCAUCCAGAAAUACAACACAGUGGGGGAUAUUUGGCAUGUAGAUAAAGGCGAGUUAGACAAACUAAUAGUACGUGUAAAAUAAAUUUGAGAUUUGAAAUCCUUAAAUCUAGGGGUGUAGUUUUAACCAAGAUGUUUUUCUUAUUUUUGCGAUAGGGAUUGGUAAAAAACGAAAUAGUGCAAGGAAAGAGAGAGGAUGCAAGUUGAUUGCUGAAUGGAAACCAGCAAUUUCCAAACAUCUAUAUUGGUGUGCAAACUGGGGUAAUGGCAAUGCAGAUGUUGUUUUAGCAGCUUGGAAGGUAUUGGGCAGUCACAUCAUAAAUGUGCAUACACAUUCUGACCCACUUUUCACGGAAUGUCAACAUAGCAAGCUUGAAGAAAGGAAAUGGUUCUUGCCAUGUAAGUUUUAAUUUCAAAUUUACAUAAAUGUGUGAUUUGCAAAUCUGCUUCAAUAGGAAAUUUCUAUACUCAUUUCAUGUCAUUGUUCCUUUGAAUUAUCUCUCCACAUAUAAACCAGUUGUUUCAAUAUCUUUUUCAGAUAGUAAAGCUUAUUUCAAACUGAGAGAAAUACUUUUCUCAAAUAACAUGCUGAAGGAUGUUAAACAACUGACCCCCAACAGCAUUACAGCAGGGGCAGAAUCAUUUCACUCCUUGUGUAACCACAUGGCCCCAAAGAUGCUUCAUUAUCAUUAUGAGGCUUUUUAUGCUGGGUAUCAGAUUGCCAUCUUGCACUUCAACGAGAAUUGCAAUCGGGAACAGGCGAGGACAAAGGAGAUGAGCAGUACAAUGUUAAGUACCCCAAGUACAAAAAGGGUAGUCAUACCUUGUGUAAAGUCUUUGAAAAGGCCACAUUCAAUUAUGCUGGUUUUCUGAGGAGGAGGGUCCGGUAAUGCCAUUAUGGAGGACAGGAAAAGGCCACCUCCGCUAUCAUCCAAAGUCACAACAGUGCUGAGAGAGUUUUCUGUACAACAGCGCAAAACCCGUUUUAUCAAAACUGGUUGAUCUAGUCGAUGCAUAUGAAUAAAAAUAGUGAACAGUCUUUCUACAUUUCCUUUCCAUUUAUUCAACUUGUUUAACAUAACAUACACUUAUUUUGAAUUUGUAAGUUUAAACCCUUUGUAUGUACCAACACCAUCUGGGUAUGUCGAUCUAAUUUUGUUUACCACACAUGAGGGGAAUUGACACUCUUUUGCUUUUACCGAGUCUGUUGUAGAUCCACUGCACAAACCUCCUGUAACCUGUGUAGCGUUACUUGCUGUAAAUAAACCAACAAACAAACAGUAUUGAUUAUUGCAACAAAUAUAAAUUAUGUACUGAGAUAUUUUCAUAAAUACUAUGGACAUCAUGAACCUUUAGUCUUUGAAAUAUUAAAGAAAAAUAUUUAAAUAGGCAUACAAUUUUUAUUUAUCAAUUCAUAUAAUUCUUAGAAAAUGGACUGUGUAGCCAACAGGCUUAGAUAAUAACUUAC